AUUGAACGCUGGCGGCAUGCCUUACACAUGCAAGUCGAACGGUAACGGGCCUUCGGGUGCCGACGAGUGGCGAACGGGUGAGUAAUACAUCGGAACGUGCCCGAUCGUGGGGGAUAACGAGGCGAAAGCUUUGCUAAUACCGCAUACGAUCUACGGAUGAAAGCCGGGGACCGCAAGGCCUUGCGCGGACGGAGCGGCCGAUGGCAGAUUAGGUAGUUGGUGGGAUAAAAGCUUACCAAGCCGACGAUCUGUAGCUGGUCUGAGAGGAUGAUCAGCCACACUGGGACUGAGACACGGUCCAGACUCCUACGGGAGGCAGCAGUGGGGAAUUUUGGACAAUGGGCGCAAGCCUGAUCCAGCCAUGCCGCGUGCAGGAUGAAGGCCUUCGGGUUGUAAACUGCUUUUGUACGGAACGAAAAGCCUUCUUUUAAUACAGGAGGGUCAUGACGGUACCGUAAGAAUAAGCACCGGCUAACUACGUG
rnacentral:rRNA from 1 species